rnacentral:rRNA from 1 species
GAUGAACGCUGGCGGCGUGCCUAAUACAUGCAAGUCGAGCGAACGGACGAGAAGCUUGCUUCUCUGAUGUUAGCGGCGGACGGGUAAGUAACACGUGGAUAACCUACCUAUAAGACUGGGAUAACUUCGGGAAACCGGAGCUAAUACCGGAUAAUAUUUUGAACCGCAUGGUUCAAAAGUGAAAGACGGUCUUGCUGUCACUUAUAGAUGGAUCCGCGCUGCAUUAGCUAGUUGGUAAGGUAACGGCUUACCAAGGCAACGAUGCAUAGCCGACCUGAGAGGGUGAUCGGCCACACUGGAACUGAGACACGGUCCAGACUCCUACGGGAGGCAGCAGUAGGGAAUCUUCCGCAAUGGGCGAAAGCCUGACGGAGCAACGCCGCGUGAGUGAUGAAGGUCUUCGGAUCGUAAAACUCUGUUAUUAGGGAAGAACACAUGUGUAAGUAACUGUGCACAUCUUGACGGUACCUAACCAGAAAGCCACGGCUAACUACGUG